rnacentral:ncRNA from 1 species
AAGGUUUCCUCCGCAAGGUUCGUCCACGGAGGGUGAGUCAGGGCCUAAGAUCAGGCCGAAAGGCGUAGUCGAUGGACAACAGGUCAAUAUUCCUGUACUACCCCUUAUUGGUACGGAGGGACGGAGGAGGCUAGGUUAGCCGAAAGAUGGUUAUAGGUUUAAGGACACAAGGUGACCCUGCUUUUUCAGGAAAUGUAGAUCUUAAACUAGAAAGGCUUUUUUGGAUGGAAAAACUCUGACUUCCUAGUUUUAGUUAGUAGAAACCUAAUUGGUUAAAAU